UACGGAGGAGGCAAGCGUUAUCCGGAAUUAUUGGGCGUAAAGCGUCCGCAGGUGGCAAUUCAAGUCUGUGGUUAAAGACUGGGGCUUAACCCUGGAAAGGCCAUGGAAACUGAAUAGCUAGAGUGCAGUAGGGGUAGAGGGAAUUCCCGGUGUAGCGGUGAAAUGCGUAGAGCUCGGGAAGAACAUCGGUGGCGAAGGCGGCCCCCUGGUUGGAUACUGACGCUGAUACGCGAAAGCGUGGGGAGCGAACAGG
rnacentral:rRNA from 1 species